rnacentral:rRNA from 1 species
UACAGAGGGUGCGAGCGUUGUCCGGAAUCACUGGGCGUAAAGGGCGCGUAGGCGGCUUGGUAAGCGUGCGGUGAAAGCUCAGGGCUCAACCCUGAGUCUGCCGUGCGAACUGCCAGGCUAGAGCACGGUAGAGGCACAUGGAAUUCCGGGUGUAGCGGUGGAAUGCGUAGAGAUCCGGAAGAACACCGGUGGCGAAGGCGGGUUGCUGGGCCGUAGCUGACGCUGAGGCGCGACAGCGUGGGGAGCAAACAGG